rnacentral:rRNA from 1 species
ACUCAAAGGAAUAGACGGGGGCCCGCACAAGCGGUGGAGCAUGUGGUUUAAUUCGACGCAACGCGAAGAACCUUACCAGCUCUUGACAUGCCCGGUAUGGGGUUGAGAAAUCAGCUCCUUCAGUUCGGCUGGCCGGUGCACAGGUGCUGCAUGGCUGUCGUCAGCUCGUGUCGUGAGAUGUUGGGUUAAGUCCCGCAACGAGCGCAACCCUCACCUUUAGUUGCCAUCAGGUUAAGCUGGGCACUCUAAAGGAACUGCCGGUGACAAGCCGGAGGAAGGCGGGGAUGACGUCAAGUCCUCAUGGCCUUUAUGGGCUGGGCUACACACGUGCUACAAUGGCGGUGACAGUGGGACGCGAAGGGGCAACCCUUGGCCAAUCUCAAAAAGCCGUCUCAGUUCGGAUUGUUCUCUGCAACUCGAGAGCAUGAAGCUGGAAUCGCUAGUAAUCGCGGAUCAGCACGCCGCGGUGAAUACGUUCCCGGGCCUUGCACACACCGCCCGU